GGUUUGAAAUGGUAGGAAAGGCUGUCGAAAGAUAGCUGUGUCUCCCUUUUGGGAGAAAUCCUACCACAGGUGGUGCAUGGCCGUCGUCAGCUCGUGUUGUGAGAUGUUGGGUUAAGUCCCGCAACGAGCGCAACCCUUGUCCUUAUUUGCUUCCUCGUAUGAGGUGCUCUAUAAGGAGACUGCCGGCGACAAGCCGGAGGAAGGAGGGGACGACGUCAGGUCAGUAUGCCCUUUAUGCCCUGGGCUACACAGGCGCUACAGUGGCAAGGACAAUGAGUAGCGAGAGCGCAAGCUCGAGCUAAUCUCACAAACCUUGUCGUGGUGCGAAUUGAAGGUUGAAACUCACCUUCAUGAAGCCGGAAUCGGUAGUAAUGGCGUAUCAGCUAUGUCGCCGUGAAUACGUUCCCGGGCCUUGUACACACCGCCCGU
rnacentral:rRNA from 1 species